rnacentral:tRNA from 1 species
GGAAAUAGCACUCAAUUUCUUGCGUCCACACUUAUCGGCUGUCUUUGACGACAGAAAUUGAAACGUGACCGGCUUGACGUAACCGCAAGGCCAACGCCUGGUUGACGUGAUGAGCGGACCGCAGCGUUUCGUGAAUGCAUGGGUCUGUAGCUCAGUUGGUUAGAGCACCGUCUUGAUAAGGCGGGGGUCGUUGGUUCGAAUCCAACCAGACCCACCAAUCCAUUCCGUGGGGGUGUAGCUCAGCUGGGAGAGCACCUGCUUUGCAAGCAGGGGGUCAUCGGUUCGAUCCCGUUCACCUCCACCAUCAAAUUCGAUCCCAAGCGUCAGUGGCUUACGGCCCCUGACGCAUGCGAUCGUCAGAUCGUCUGUCGUUCUUUAACAAUUCGUAGAGUCAAAUCAGAGUUGUCGGCGGAAACCGCUUCAUGGCGGACCGUGCCGUCGGCAACAUUUUUGAUUGCGUCAACAAACUUCAAUUCGCAAGAAUUUGAAGAAACGGCAUAACGCAAAUACUCAAAUCAGUCCUUGACGAUGCUUCUUCAGCGAGGCGUCAAAGUUAUAGGGUC